rnacentral:rRNA from 1 species
GACGAACGCUGGCGGCGUGCUUAACACAUGCAAGUCGAGCGGAAAGGCCCUUCGGGGUACUCGAGCGGCGAACGGGUGCGUAACACGUGAGUAACCUGCCCCAGACUUUGGGAUAACCCUCGGAAACGGGGGCUAAUACCGGAUACGACACAGCUUCGCAUGGGGUCUGUGUGGAAAGUUUUUCGGUUUGAGAUGGGCUCGCGGCCUAUCAGCUUGUUGGUGGGGUGAUGGCCUACCAAGGCGACGACGGGUAGCCGGCCUGAGAGGGCGACCGGCCACACUGGGACUGAGACACGGCCCAGACUCCUACGGGAGGCAGCAGUGGGGAAUAUUGCACAAUGGGCGGAAGCCUGAUGCAGCGACGCCGCGUGAGGGAUGACGGCCUUCGGGUUGUAAACCUCUUUCAGCAGGGACGAAGCGUAAGUGACGGUACCUGCAGAAGAAGCGCCGGCCAACUACGU